GAAGCGGCAACAGCUCAGAUUUGAAAUCUGGCCCUUACGGGGUCCGAGUUGUAAUCUGUAGAGGAUGCUUUUGGCGACGCGCCUUCCGAGUCCCCUGGAACGGGGCGCCAGAGAGGGUGAGAGCCCCGUAUGGUUGGACGCUGAACCUCUGUAAAGCUCCUUCGACGAGUCGAGUAGUUUGGGAAUGCUGCUCAAAAUGGGAGGUAAAUUUCUUCUAAAGCUAAAUACCGGCCAGAGACCGAUAGCGCACAAGUAGAGUGAUCGAAAGAUGAAAAGCACUUUGAAAAGAGGGUUAAAUAGCACGUGAAAUUGCUGAAAGGGAAGCGCUUGUGACCAGACUUGCGCCCGGUUGAUCAUCCAGCGUUCUCGCUGGUGCACUCUGCCGGGCUCAGGCCAGCAUCGGCUCUCCCAGGGGGAUAAAGGUCGCGGGAACGUAGCUCUCUCCGGGGAGUGUUAUAGCCCGUGGCGGAAUGCCCUUAGGGGGGGCCGAGGCCCGCGUUCGCAAGGAUGCUGGCGUAAUGGUCACCAGCGACCCGUCUUGAAACAC
rnacentral:rRNA from 1 species